rnacentral:piRNA from 1 species
UGUGAAUAGAUUUGGCAUUGUAUGA